GGGGUAUCUAGGACUCAGCAGUGGGUCUUUAUCUCUGCCUUCUCCCUCAAUUGGUUCAGCGACAGAAUCGGACAUGGAAUCCCCCUCCCAGAACCCAUUCGUACCAUUGAGGUGUCACCACCUGAAACAUUGCUUGUGUCUAGGAGGUGGCCAAGGGGACCAUUACGCAGCACCAGGCAUUCACUGAAGAAGAGGAGCAUGGGAGGUGCUGGAGAAUUUUAAGAAAUAAAAUAACUGCUCUGGUUCAGAUGUUGGUCCUAGGAUGGCAGUAUUGGGAGGUGCUUAGGUCACUGGAGACAUGUCCCUGAAGGGAACUGUGGGACCCUGGUCCCAUUCUGUGCUUCCUGAUUCAUGUUCAGUUUACUCCAUCAUGUACUCCCACCAUGAUGUGCAAUCGCUGCCGAAAGCCCAAACCACUGGGGCUACCCAAUCUUGGAGUAGAACUCUGAACUGGAAUAAAC
rnacentral:lncRNA from 1 species